UGCGGAUAAUAUAACUCUAAAACUGGAAUCUUAGCGUGCCAAUCUCCUACAUUUACAAGUUUUUGAGAAAGAAACUUGGUUUUGUGAACAAAGACGAGAUUGAAAUUACAUGUAUGGGGAUACCUGUGCUCCCAACAACAACAGCAGAUGAAUUGGUUGAGUUUUGGCUGAAUACAAAUGAAAAAAAUGAAGGCACAAUAGAUGAUCGUUUCAGAGUCCAUCUAAACUAUGGUGUGAAGGUUCCAUCACCCUCUUCUUGAUGAUGCAUAUGAGUUCAACAUCCUUAGCUUGCAUUUUUAAUGCAACUUGAAUUGAAAAAUUUCAUAAAAUAUUUGCUUAUUUUUUUAUUUUGUACUUG